rnacentral:lncRNA from 1 species
GUCAAGACUGGGCCAAGAAAUAUCUCAAGACUGAUUUUUCUAAGGUUUUAUGGACUGAUGAAAUGAGAGUGAGUCUUGAUGGGCCAGAUGGAUGGGCCCGUGGCUGGAUUGUUAAAGGGCAGAGAGCUCCAGUCCAACUCAGACGCCAGCAAGGUGGAGGUGGAGUACUGGUUUGGGCUGGUAUCAUCAAAGAUGAGCUUGUGGGGCCUUU